rnacentral:lncRNA from 1 species
GUCUGACCCAGGCCAAUGUGAUGCAAGUCCACAAAGCCCUUAAUGCUUCUUGAAAAUCUUUCUGUGUGUUCCUACGUCAUUCACUCUCCCUUUCUGCUAGACAGUAAUUAUACACCCUCCACUCACCUGAAACCUCAGCACCUCUUCUCUUAAUCCUCACUCUCAGCUGAUGAUUUUGUUUCCUACUUCACUUAGAAAUUAGGAUCAAAGAAAACCUCCCAGACUUUCAUUAUUACUGCAUCUACUCACAUGAGCAUAUUCCAUGCUUCACCUCCCUACUAAAUACCAGAGAACUAACUACCCAUGCUCUUACCCCAAACCAGUAGCUCAACUUGUCCAUUUGACCCCAUCUCCUCUGACUCACUCAAAAAUACUACUAUUGGAAUUCCCUUCUACUAAAUCAUUGUUUCUUUACUCUCUAUUAGAUACAGCCUGCAACCAUGAUGUUAUUUAUCCUAGAAUACUUCUCAUUUCCCCACUUCCUCUAAAUGUUGAUCCAUUGUUCUGCUCUUUUGUGCAGCAAAAUUCAUCAAAAUGAUUUCCUCUACAAUCUCCAGUUUCCCUUCUCUAAUUUUCUCUCAAAACUACUACAAGCAGAUGUUUGUCCCAAUACUUCAACAGAACCACUUCUGUCAAAGUCACUGUAAACCUCCAUGUAGCUAAACCCAAAGGCCAAUUUCAAUCCUAAUCUGAUUUUAGCUAUCAAUGAUAUUUACCACAAUCAAUACCUUUAUCUUCCUCAAUAUAUCUUUUCCACUUGGUUUUUUUGGACACCGAUAUCCUCCUGUGCUUUCCCCUUCACAGUCUUCUGUGAAAAAGUCCCUCUUCUCCAACAUUGGGUGUCCCAGGUCUCAUUUGUUGGUCCUCUUCUCCAUCGAGUUUCACCCCUUAGUGGUCUUACCUGUUCUCAAGGUUUUAAAUAUCCAUAUGCCAGUGGGUUCCCCGUUGUGUAACUCCAGCACAGAAUCCCUCCUAAAUUCCAGAUUGACUAUCCAGUUACCUAUGUAAUAUCCCAUAUUCAGUAUUUCCAAAACUAUACUCCUGACCUUUCUUCCAAACCUGUUUU